UGGUAGGCUUUACUGGGAGGGUAGCCGUCUCCUGUCACCAUAAACCGGCUUCUGAUGGAGUGAAACCCUGGAACGGCAUUCGUGCGUUGGAUUGUGCUUGAUCUGUACGAUGAGGUUCUAUCCACAUGGAGGAAUGUUGCUCUCAACUGUGUCAGAUCAGGAAUGAAGCAGCACUACGGAACUUCACUCCUGCUUUGUGGGUUAUGGAACUGAGAAAGACCAAGAGCACACAAGCCAGUACAUGAACGACAAUCCAGGGGUGCCUACCA
rnacentral:SRP_RNA from 1 species